AUCUACUGUAUGUCCUUUGUGCAAUGUAUUAUGGUAGAAACAUGACCACAUUACAUACUCAAAAGCAGCUAGAAUUAAUUUGAAGUAUAAAUUUGGGACACAGCUCUAAAAAUGUUUUUCAACUAUUCGUGAUUCCAGGACAUCACCAUAGUAUUCAGAUUUCAUCCUCUGGGAACUAUGAAUGUCUGUACAAAAUGAUGAGUGCAAUGCAUUUAUUAGUUGUUAACAUGUUUUAGUCAAGACCAAAGUGGUGGACCCACCAGCAGACCAACUCUUUGGUCCCUACCAUGCUUAAAAGCACAAGUUGAAAGAGAAGACGGUGAAAAGCAGUGUGGUAGUCUCUAAAAAAGAUGAAGACAUAAAGCUGUAUGAAACAUUUUGUUCCGUUUCUAAUGCUGAACAGGAAAAAUGCAGCCAUAGAGGUACGCAUGAUAUAUCAAGUACAAUUGAGCCUAAAGGUGGGAUCAACAAAGACACGUUAAGCUCGAACCAUGGACAUCUCCACAUUACAGCAGCAGAUUUGGCAAUAGCUGCAACCAGUGAGCUACUAGAGGACGUUCGAAAGGCUGCUGGUGACCGAGUAUUCCUACAGAUGAUAGGAAUCUCCAAAGGCUCCAGUAACGCUCUUUGUAUGUUGUUGUUUUGGUUUAUGGUGUGUGUAUGUGCAUACUUAACACUGUAGCUGAGCUGAUUUGUUUAAGCUGUUCUGUGUAUAUAACGAGAGCAAUGUAAUCAAAUUCCUCAUAUGUGUGCACAUACUCUGCCAUUACAGCUGAUUCAGAUUCUUAGGUCUUGAUUGAAAUAAAGCAUGAGUGAUGACGUUAAA